GCUCCACCACUGACCACUUGUAUUUCUCAACAACUGUUUACGUACAUUCUUUGCUUCUCAUAUCGCCUGCACUCGCGACCCGCUUUAGCUCUCCAGCCGGUACGCCAAUGUCCGAUGAGAAGCAGAUUUUCACAUGCCAUUGCUUGUGUUUUACGCGUGUGUAUCUUUAUCUGUAUCAAUAACUGUGUACGUAUGACUGUUUGUACGCACACAAUUUUGUUUCUUGCUUUUGAAUCUUCUAGAAAUCCGUUAGCAUGCAUUUUUCGUUUUAUGUUUUUAUCAUUUCGAUCGUUAUCUGAGGAAGUGUAUGAGUUUUGAUCUGACUAUCUGAGAAUUUUUUUUGCGUUUUCCUGUUUUUUUCGUUUUUAACUUUUUAAUUUUUUAGGUUAUAUGAGCUUCGAUUUGUCAAACUAUGGUGAACGUUCACUUUUCGUUAUUUCUUUUGGAGAGGUUACUGAUGUGUGUGUAUCCAGUCCUACUACCCGUGAUUCAUAUGUGUUUUUGGUUUGGAGUUUGAUUCUUUUAAGGAUAUUGAUUGCCGUGUGGUUGGAUGGUUGUAAAUUCGAACUCUUUUAGGUUUACGGUUUGCUUAUAUCCUUUUGACUUUUUCUAGUUCUCGAGGCUGCAAGAGUUGUGGAUUGUUCUGCUGUUGCAUGGCCCAGCACAAACGAAUAAGGAAUCUUAGUGCCUUAAUUUCCGUGCCUGUAGAAUACAAAUGAGAAUGUUUAUAGUGUUUUGCUGAGAGUUGGAUGGUUUAGACAAUUCUGUCCAUAAUAAGGAUGCCAAUGACAUAACAAUGGAGAUAGACUUAUCUAGUGAGAUUCUUUUAGGUUAAUGUACAACAUAAGGAAUUAUUCAUAUUUGUUUGAAAAAAAAAAAACAAUUUUUAUUGAAUCUAUAGUAAAUCAUAUUUCAUGUGCAUUCCUAGUUUCAUAUGAAAUGAUAUACUCCAUUAAUAUUUUUUUCCAGGUUGGUUGAAUUUAACUGUUUUUCUUUUUGUUUUCAAGACCUUUCUGGCAAUGCUGAUCACCAAAGAUACACAUUAGUAAAAUAAGGAAAUUUUUCUUUUAUAAAGUGAGGGUCUUUUUACUUCUUGUUCUGGUGACCAACAUCUCAAAUAUCAUAAUCAAAUAUGUCAUUAUGUGCCUUAGCACAAACUAAUUGGUGAUCAUGAAUCUCAAAAUUGAGUAUAGUUUCUGCAGCCUCUAUUUUUUUUUUUUUUUUCAUUAUAGAUACUGCAGUAUUAGGUAUGAGCUGAGCAGUAUUAGAAUUCUAGGGAUAUAGUCAGUUUUCUUAGAGAAGGAUUGUCUAAGAGCCUAUAUCAGAUUGAGUUCAGGAAUUUUCUUCCUGAAUUUGAUGUGUUUUGGUAUUUUUAUAAAAGGUCAUCCUUUAUUUGACUUUUGUUCACUUUGGUUGUCGGUAUUUUUUGCUGAACAAACUCUUAAUGUGAAAUGAUGAUCUUGAGCUGGCUCUCAAUGGAUAUGAUGAUUGAUGAAUGUUAGUAUUUCUCACACCUUUUAUGAGGGUGUGGAUGGAUUUACUUGUCUAUUAAGUCUUCUUAAGGUUUGUGGAUGGAUUAAAAAUUCGCCAAGACCAAGAGUAGUUUGGAUUUUGAUAGAUGAAUUUUAACAAUGGUUCUUAUGAUUUUUGUUGUAUCUUUUGCUGCUCUUGUAUCAUAGAGUGGAGACAGACAGACAGUUAUCCUGGAUAUUUAGAUAUUCUAAUUAAAUCUGUUUAAUGACUUUCAACCAUGUUUUCCUUUUUAUUAUUUUUUAAUGAAUUUGAAAGGUAGUGGUCAAGUUUGUGUCUUAUGAAGGAUUUUCUUUGAAAGGAUACGUAAGGGUUGUUUGUUCCAUUGUUGGUAUAUCAUCACUCAUUAUUAGAUUUAAGCUGAAAAAGCUAGAUUCUUGCUAAAUAGUAUUUUUGGGUUCAAGACAAUGUGAUUAUUGCCUCCUGUUAAAUGCUUGGUUAUUCAACUUCAUUUUGGAGUCGCUUACUCAAGCCUUUAAGAUAUUUACCUCUCAUGUAAUUUAUUUUAAAGCCUGUAGUGGAUCACCAAUCUGAUUAGGGUUUUAAUGUGCAAAUAAUAACUAAUAUUAAAGAAACCUGUAACUCAAUGUAUAUAAUGUUCAGCAAGGUUGUAAUCGAACCUUGAAUUUAACCUCAGUGAUGGAGAGGGGAUGCAAUGAGUGGAAGGGAAGGGGAGAAUGUUGGAGUAUAAGUUUCAAAAAAAGAAUACAGAAUGUCAAAUGAAUGGAGAGAGAAAAGGCAAGAGGAUUUACAUGUCUACACAAGCCCUUGUCAAUCAUCAGGAUGGAAUCUUUUGGCAAGGUACUAGGAGGGGCCACUGUGGAGAUGAUUUACAAAGAGGAUGAGUCCCAUGAGUUUGGAGUUGACUUGAAUACAUGAUAGCCUUAAGUUUGGCACAUUGUUAGUACUCUCUUCAAUGGGGGAUGUGGCUGCAUCCAUGUCUUUAUUACAAUCUGCAAUAUUGUGCUGGCAGAUUUCAAGGAAUUUUUAACAUAUGGAGGGGCCUAGUGUAACCUUCGAGAACAUCAAAGGAUGUGUGUGUGGCCAUCAAAGGUGCAAGGAUGGGAAACACAAAUGAACUAUAUCAACAAUCCAGCAUCAUUUAAUUUGCUUUGACAAGAUGGGAAAGGACACAACAAACUUACAAAAAAAAUUGUUUGUGGCUCACUUCAAGUUGAUUCUCCAGAUUUGUCAGAUCUUUGAUGCUUAGUCCAGAAAGUUCUUUUCCCAAAAGCUGCCUGCAUUUAUGUGAAACAAAGAACUGGUAUGCUUCUUGUCUUUUGCUUUUGCUUCAUUUAGCUUUCACCUUAUCUUGAUCUUUUUAGACAAAACUAUCUUAUGCAUUUUCUAAAAACUGCCCUUAACACUGCAUGGAAGCAACACAUUCCUGUAAAAUUUGGGAUAUCUUUUCUGAUAUUUGUUCAGAGUUCAAAGUGUUUUAUCUGUUACUCUGUUAUAUCUUCAGAUUAUGCUUCCUCAAAACUGAACUGCUGCAUCAAUCUUAGAUGGCCCAAAUAGACGGUAGGAUGAACUUUAGGAAAAUGAAUGUGGGUUUUGUUAAGUAUUUAUCAGCUAAGAAGUCAAAGAAAGAACUGCAGAUAUUUGAAGGUGUAAAAGUAUGCAUGAGAUUUAGAUUAUCUGAAUAAAUGAGACUCUUACUCAAAUAUGUGGACUUAACUGAUUUUCGAAUGUCUAAAAAGGCUUAUUAUGUCCAUGCUUUAUAAAGUAAAGUAAAAUAGAUGGAAGUUUAUUACAACUUAGAACUCUAAUUUCUUACUAAGGCAAAAUUAGGUGUAUUCUAUGAGGUUCUAACUUACGUUAGGGUUUAUUUAAUUUUUUUGUGCAUAUGGCAUCCUGUAUCCUCACCAUUAUGACUAACUUAGGUUCAACUUGGGUUGUGCCUAGAGUUUGACUCUUACUUGGGGAAGACCUGACUUAUAGUUCUUUUAACAUGGCACACACAAAAGAGUUGAUCCUCUAACCUUGCAGUUGCAUAAUAUCACCGUUUUUCAUAAAAACAGAUAAAAAUACUAGUAGUCCUGUUCACUAGUGGAAAAAUAGUCUAUUUUUCUUUUCUUUUUAGAAAAAAAAAAAAAGAGAAAGAAAUUAGAGGUCUAUUUUCCAAAUUAAGAAAGAACCCAUUUUCCAGUUUUUGACUUGACAAAGAAAGUGGUAAAAAAAAUACAAAAAAGAUAUUUUCCAAUUUCUUUGAUAAAAAGGCAACAAUUUUCCCAUUUAAUAGAAAACACACUUAAGCACCACCAAUGGCUGUAUUACAAUCACCACACUACAACAUGCUAUCACUCAUCCCCAUGAGUCACUUCCAUGACUUCUACUCACCACCUUUGUCCACUAACCAUUGCCCAUCACCACCAUGCCACUACCCCUUGCCCUCAUUUACCCACUGCAAUUAGCACUAUUAUAAUCAUUAGCAAUCUUCUGCCAUCUAUCUCUAAUCCAUUUGAGUUGCUACCCAUAGCACCACCGGCAUUUUUGUUGGUAUUUUUAUAUGAAUAAAAUAAUCUGAGUUUAAUGUGUUAAUGCAUUGUAACCAACACUACUUGUUUUCUAAUUUUCCAAGGAAAAUGAAAACUAGAAAAGCUCUAGAAAUUGGAAAAGAAAAGAAAAAGUUACUAACUAGCAUGAUACCAUAUUGCCAUAUCAUUAAAUUUGAACAAAUGUUUAAUAAAGAUGGUUGCAGAAAGCAAUUAGUGAAUUGUUUUCUGAACUCUUACAUCAUCUAUACCGAAGUAGACAAAGUUGUAUUAUAUAACAUUGUGAUGUGUUUGCCUUGGUUUGUUUUCCUCUAGUAAGUCUUUUUAUACAUGUAUAAUGUUUCUGUCAUCUGUGGGUGCAAUAUUGAUGCAUACUAAAGUUGAGUGUGUAAACAAUGAACAUACCUGUGGCUUUCUUGCAAGUACUGCAGUUGUUGCCUCAAGUUUGCCGCUUCCCUUUGCCAAAACUAUCAAACAAAGAAGUACAAUGUUUAUGUUUUACCUAAUCAAGUUGUAAGCACUAGAUUAGCACAACUAAAGUUGGUGAAAAUAUUUAUUCAGAAAAGAUGAAUACUAGUAAAUGCUCAUUAGUGGUCCUAGGGGUAUCAUCUAUUUUUAGUUGAAAAUAGGCAAGAUGAACCCUAUUGUUUGUGUUGGUUAACUCAUCUUUAAAGCCUAUUUUACAUAUAAUUUUUUCACAUAGGACUCAAUAUUCAUGAUAGAUUGCAAAGAUUUGGAUCUCAAAAACUAAACGCAAGUUGUGAUAUAUAAGCCUCAAGUUUAGGACUAGUCAAUAUAUUCAUUCAUAUGCAUGUAUGUGUGUUACAUAUAUACUGAUAUACAUAAAUGUAUAUAUAGGGAAAAUUCAACUAAGUCACUACAAACUUCACACCUCAAUAAAAGCAUAAGGAAAUAUCUAUAUCUAUAAAUUCUUGACAAGAAAUCCCCCCCUACAACUCUUAGGUCUUUGAUUUAGCUAACAACCUAAUGUGGAUUUUCCCAACUGCGUUAGUGGCAAUCUUUUAGUGUAGGAACCCUCAGUCUACAAUUGUGGUACCUUCAUUUCUAAUAGGAGUGUUAUUUGGGUGUGAGAGAUUUUCCAAAAACGGGGAAAAGACCCUAGUAUGGGUGUAAUGGGCUAUGCAUAUAAUAUUAGUGAAUAGAUUAUCUAUUUUGGUGAAUUUUCAAUUAAUUUAGAGAAAGUUGAAAUUUCAAAUACAAUUAACUCAUAACCGAAAUUUUGAAAAUUUUAAAAUCUAUCACUGAAUUGGAAUUAAUUUGGUUAAUUGAUCAGUUAACCUAAUUAAUUUCCGAUUUGGUUGGCUAGCCGAGCUAAAGCUAAACAAAUGAACACAUCUAGCUUUAAGGUAAUAAUGCACCUGGGCAUAAUAACCUCUCCAAGAUGUUGUGGUUUCUCUAGCCAAUGAGAGAGAAUGUUAUACACCUUUAACCAGAGAAAUCCUCAUGUGAUUCCACUUGAGGGACCAAAUGUGGGUAAAAAUUGUCGUAAGUGGUUUGAUCAUUGAGGCAUGAAAGGAAGGGAAACCAAAAGUGGAAUUCAGGGGUAAUUUGAGUCUUGAAGGGAUGGUAGUUCAAUGACAUUGUUGGAAUAUGGUCAUACAUCAACUUGGUAAGAACUGAGAAGGCUGUGGUUGAGCUUCAAUUGUGUCCUUUUAACCCUAACUUGUUUCGUAGAGGCAAUUGGAGGUCCAUUUAUUGGUCACUUUGCUAAUUCUAGGACCUCCAGUUAACUAUUUUUUUGCAAUUAUCUUCCCCAUACUUGCCUUGUCUCUCUUGUUCAAAAAUGCAUUUCCAAAUCCACAUUUGCAGCUUGCUAUUUCUAGGACCUCCAUCAUGGAGGGGCUAACCGGCUAAAUAAUAUACCAUGAAUUGUGUAAUGGCCUAAUUUUUCUAUUUAAAUCUGUUGUAACUGAGGAUGUUACUCUUCUCAUUAUUUACUUGAAUGGGGAGACAAAGAAAAUUACAAUGCUCUAAUUGCUAAACCUUUGUGAAACUUUGCCUUCGACUAACCUUUUUUACACAGGUAUAGCCUAUGCUUGUAAGUAGACUGUAAGUAGACUUCUAUUCAACCAAGCAUCUUCCACAGGCUUGUGAUCUAAUGUACCCCGCACAUCAUUGCAAUCAUCCGCUAGUCCACCCAUGUUUCCUCCAUUAUACAUGCUAAUGAGAAGUUCAACACCUGUCCCCAGAGAAACGAACUAUCCUUCAAUGGAAUUGCAUUGAAUGUUCAACAACUGUCCUCCAAGAAACGAACUAUCCUUCAAUGGAAUUGCAUUGAAAGUUCAACAACUGUCCUCCAAGAAACGAACUAUCCUUCAAUGGAAAUGCAUUGAAAGUUCAACAACUGUCCUCAGAGAAACGAACUAUCCUUUAAUGGAAUUGCAUUGAAGUAUUGAACAAUUCUUUGCAUGACCGACCUUCAUCUUGCAUUGCAGUUCUUCCAUUCAUUCUUCUGCAAAUGCAAAGAAGAGAUGGCAUUAGAUGUUAGCUUUUCCUAUUUCAAAGAGAUUUUAUCUAUAUUUUAUUUACCUCAGCUAUGUUUUCUCAUGACCACCUCUUUCCUUCACUGCCAUCCACUGAAUUAAGUUUGACGGGAUAUGCUUAAGCUGAGAGGGAUGCUGCAUAUUCAGCAUUACUAAUUUCCAUAACUUUGGAAAAUAGAGCAAUUAGACUCUACAGCCCCAAGCAAGGAUCUAGAACUAUCUUUGAAGAUGCCCUGCCAUCUUUAUUUCUGAUAAACUAGUGGCUAUCUAUGUACUGGUAAUCAAAACUUGAAGGUACCUAUUCUCAAGAAUUAUCUUGAGACCCAAAGCAAAAUUUGGGCUACAAAAUAGCAACUUUAUAUCUGAAAGAGUGUUCAAACUUCACCAAACCCCUGGUCUCAAUGUACCACUAUGAACUUAAUUCUCUGAAACUUGUAUUCUGUCUUUUGUUACUGACUAUGCAGGUAUGAUUCUAGCGGGCAAUUUGAUUGGCUUACAGUCCUCAUCAAAGCAAAAUGAACAUCAGGUGCCAUUCAUAUGCACUUUCCUUCUGCUUCUUUCUGUCUCCAUUUAUGUCGAUCAGAACUCAGAAGCACCAAAGCAAGACAAUGGUUGGAGUAUUAGACAAGCUAAACACCCAAACCUUAGUUGAAGCAAUGCUGAAAAAACAGCCAUCACAAAACCAACUUCUGUCUUGGAAUGAUUUAGGUGAUCCAUUUUUCUCCAAACAAUCCUUGAAAUAAUUGUCUGCCAGAGAAUAGCUUAAGUGCUGUGGUUUUAGCAAAUGCCUAAGUUUUAAGUUUUGAAGGAGAGGGGGAGAGGAUCUCUGACUGUCUACACUUGAUCAGCCAUACAGGAAGAGAUAAAGACACAACCCCCCAGUCUUGAGGAAGUUUGAAUACCAUCAUCAAUCUGAAUGUGAAAUUUGUACUUCAAUAACAAUUUUAUUUAUUUAUUUAUUUUAACAAUGGAAUUUGGGUCUUGAUAAAUUUGUUUUGAA